CCUACGGGAGGCAGCAGUGAGGAAUAUUGGUCAAUGGGCGCGAGCCUGAACCAGCCAAGUCGCGUGAGGGAAGACGGUCCUAUGGAUUGUAAACCUCUUUUGUCGGGGAGCAAAAGACGCCACGCGUGGCGUUCCGAGAGUACCCGAAGAAAAAGCAUCGGCAAACUCCGUGCCAGCAGCCGCGGUAAUAUGGAGGAUGCGAGCGUUAUCCGGAUUUAUUGGGUUUAAAGGGUGCGCAGGCGGAAGAUCAAGUCAGCGGUAAAAUUGAGAGGCUCAACCUCUUCGAGCCGUUGAAACUGGUUUUCUUGAGUGAGCGAGAAGUAUGCGGAAUGCGUGGUGUAGCGGUGAAAUGCAUAGAUAUCACGCAGAACUCCGAUUGCGAAGGCAGCAUACCGGCGCUCAACUGACGCUCAUGCACGAAAGUGUGGGUAGCGAACAGGAUUAGAUACCCCUGUAGUC
rnacentral:rRNA from 1 species